GGAAGUAAAAGUCGCAACAAGGUUUCCGUAGGUGAACCUGCGGAAGGAUCAUUACAAAUCUUUGCGAGUGCUGCGUGCGUAACUGUGCGCAGCAUUUCACAACAUUAGCACAAGGCCGCAAGGCCUUGAUGUUUACGCUUGUUUGUUUGACAGAGUUAGUUGAGAAAUAAUAAAGACAACUUUUAACAAUGGAUCUCUUGGCUCUU
rnacentral:misc_RNA from 1 species